rnacentral:rRNA from 1 species
AGGACUAACGCUGGCGGCGUGCCUAACACAUGCAAGUCGAACGAGGUAGCAAUACCUAGUGGCAGACGGGUGAGUAACGCGUGGUCAACCUACCUCUUAGUGGGGGAUAACUAGCCGAAAGGUUAGCUAAUACCGCAUACGAUCGUCGCGAGGCAUCUCGUGACGAUGAAAGGAGCAAUUCGCUAAGAGAGGGGACUGCGUCCCAUUAGUUAGUUGGUGGGGUAAUGGCCUACCAAGACUCCGAUGGGUAGCUGGCUUGAGAGAGCGACCAGCCACACUGGAACUGAGACACGGUCCAGACUCCUACGGAGGCAGCAGUGAGGAAUUUUCCGCAAUGGGCGCAAGCCUGACGGAGCGACGCCGCGUGUGGGAAGAAGGCCUUCGGGUCGUAAACCACUGUCGAAGGGGACGAUAUUGACGGUACCCUUGGAGGAAGCCCCGGCUAACUACGUGCCAGCAGCCGC